rnacentral:rRNA from 1 species
AUGUUCGUGGCGAGGCGGAGCCGUGAGGCUGAGCCGUAGGGAAACCGAGUCUGAAUAGGGCGAAAGUCACGGGAUGUAGACCCGAAGCCAAGUGAUCUACCCAUGGUCAGGGUGAAGCGCGGGUAACACUGCGUGGAGGCCCGAACUCACCAAGGUUGAAAACUUGGGGAUGAACUGUGGGUAGGAGUGAAAGGCUAAUCAAACUUGGAAAUAGCUGGUUCUCCCCGAAAAAUAUUGACGUAUUGCGUCGGAAAAGCGCUGUCGGGGGUAGAGCACUGACAGGGCUAGGGGGCCGCAAGGCUUACCAAACCCUAUCAAACUCCGAAUACCGACAAGCGACGUCCGGCAGGCAGGCCGCGGGAGAUAAGUUUCGUGGCCAAGAGGGAAAGAGCCCAGACUCCCAGCUAAGGUCCCUAAGUGAGUGCUGAGUGGUCAAGGAUGUGGGGAAGCCCAGACAACCAGGAGGUUGGCUUAGAAGCAGCCAUCCUUCAAAGAAAGCGUAAUAGCUCACUGGUCAAGUUUUCCUGCGCCGUAAAUAUAACGGGGC